AGAGUUUGAUCCUGGCUCAGAUUGAACGCUGGCGGCAUGCCUUACACAUGCAAGUCGAACGGUAACAGCACUUCGGUGGCUGACGAGUGGCGAACGGGUGAGUAAUACAUCGGAACGUGCCCGAGAGUGGGGGAUAACGCAGCGAAAGCUGUGCUAAUACCGCAUACGAUCUACGGAUGAAAGCAGGGGACCGCAAGGCCUUGCGCUCAUGGAGCGGCCGAUGGCAGAUUAGGUAGUUGGUGGGAUAAAAGCUUACCAAGCCGACGAUCUGUAGCUGGUCUGAGAGGACGACCAGCCACACUGGGACUGAGACACGGCCCAGACUCCUACGGGAGGCAGCAGUGGGGAAUUUUGGACAAUGGGCGAAAGCCUGAUCCAGCCAUGCCGCGUGCAGGAUGAAGGCCUUCGGGUUGUAAACUGCUUUUGUACGGAA
rnacentral:rRNA from 1 species